ACAGGCCUGUUAUGACCCAGUCUAGGGUUAAGCCGUAACAUAAAAGGGAAGAGAGAGAUAGAGACACGUGUGCCCUUCAGAUUCCCUCGACCACGCAUACAACAUCCAGCUUCACAUUGAUCAAGAUUUAUUGAAGUUGAAACAUAAGUGAGAAAACUGAACCGAAACAACAUAGAAUAUACAAACUUCAAAAGCAGCAAGGCUUUCACUAAAGAAGCAAACCUGAGUUUGCAAAGAGUGCAACCUACCUAUACACUGAAGACUUUUCCAAUGAUGAGGAAACAUCUGCCCACUCCAAACACCCUGUGAAGACACCUAGGCAGAAAACAAGGGGGAAAAAAAGACACAUUUUGCACUUACCUGACUCUUCCAGUGACAUGGACACAUCUUCCUCUCAUGAAAACCCUGUGGAGAAACCUGUUGGGAAAAAAGGAACAACAGAUGAACAGGAUUCAACCUCAACAGUCUCUUCUAGCAAUGAUGAAAGCACUGCCUGCUCAGAAGGGAUAAGAAAAAAAGAAACACAUGCUUCAUUCUGGUCUAACCCAUCCAGUGAGAAGGAAACAUCUGUCCACUCCAAACACCCUGUGGAGAAACCUGAGAAGAAAAGUGGAAAAAAGGAACCUAUACAUACCUCAUCAGCUUUCACUCCCAGUCAAGGAACCCAAACAAGGAACAUCUAAAGUCAAAAGAGUUGGGCAUCACUUCAAACAGUCAGCAAUCAUAUGGUUGCCCUCUCAAGCACGUCAAAAUUCAGACAUGCAUUUUACUCCUAUCACAUGUAAACUUAGCUUUUUGUUCCUUUAUGUUUGCAGAAACCAUACUGAGGAAGUUCCAGAGCUUCUAUGAAGGGAGCAGACCUGACAGGAAAAAAAUAGAAAAUGUAGCUCAGUUAAAGAGUCAUGUCAUAACGUUCAUUAACCAGAGGUUAUCAGCAGGGACUUCUUCUUCAUAGCGAAUGAAGAAAGGCUCAAGUUGCAAGUCUGUUAGUGACUACUGAAAGUUUUAGUACUUUUUUAUUGUCCUGUUUGUGUGUAUCAACCAUGUUUAUUCCCUCUGCAGAUAGUUUCAGGCAGAAAGACACAAAACAGUUACAACACAGAAACAAUACAUUGUCAGUAUUCAAAAAUUCCUUUCAUUCCUAUGAGAGUUCGAAAUUGACAGAUACAUCCGCAUCAACCAAGGAACCUAUAAGUUUGUCCUCUCCAUGCUCUCAAUGGAGGUCAAGUCACUGGGAAAAGAAAUUGUGAUUCACUAGCAGAUGGUGCAUGAGAACAAAAGUGGUAUGCUCACUAUAAAAGCCAUAGAUGUUAAUUUCAUUUUUUAUCUUGAAAAUCUCCACUCAGAAUUAAGUCAAUUUUCUUUUAUAAAAAUAUGUCUUAUAGACAGAUUAUGUAAAUUUAUGGGGAAAAUUUAGAAGAAUUGUGUAUUUUUGCAAAAUUUAACUAUUUGAAAACUAAAAAUACAGGAUUGUGCUGAGGUGUAGCUAAGUGUUUGUUUUUUCUCAUCUGGGUCAUUUGAGAAAUGAGAAAUAAAAUCUGACUUAAAGUUUUAUUUUUAGUGUGGCUGCUCAGCAUGGAGGAAUUACAAAAGUUCAGAGAGAAAGCAUCUGAGGCCAUUCGGAAACUUUUGGAGGACUUGCAUUGUGCCCCUGACAACAUGACCGCCCGGCAUCUCCUGUUUGGGUUUUUGGCAAGUUAUGCAGGCUGUGUGUCAGGGCACCGCCCUUGCGUCAUUGCCAACUUGACUGUUCAAGAUCUCAAGUCUGCUAAGCAUGAAGGAGACAACUGUGUUAUAAAUGUAAAAGCACUUUAUGGAAACACUGCCUGUCAAUGUUCUUCAACUUAUGUCUUCAAAUUAUCUACCUUUCAAGACCAAACAUCAAAUAUUGUGCUCUGAGCCACAAAACCAUGGGCAGUUAUGGGACAGCACAACUUGCCCUGACUAAAAAGGAGUUUGAGAGUUUUGCUAAUCUCCAUCAACAGUUGCCAGGCUACAGGGAUGGCAUAAACACCUUGUUUUUCACAAGAACAGGCUCCGAGCUGAGAAAAAUUUCACACUACAUUUCCAUGGCCUGGAUCCAUGCAGGACUACAACCAAAUACAAUAAUGACAGACAUACAGUCAUCUAUAGCCACACACCUAUAUUCACCAUUACCGAAAGUUCUCCCUGGGCCCAAAAAGCUACAAUGCAAGAGGCGAUGAAUGAUGACUUAAAGGCAAGAAUCAGGACUGCCUUCAUGGGAAAAUGGGCCUAUCUGUCAUGGUUUGGUACAAACACAUGAAAUAGCAUGAUACUAUACAGGUUUGCUCAGUGAAGACUUUAGACUAAUGUUGCUCCCUUAAUUUUAGAUAAACAAAGUCCUCCGGGCACACUCCAUACUCCAAGACUACAAAAAAAAAGGAAUGAUGAUCUACAAUUUUGUUUCACCUAUGAAAACAAUCCAAAAGUGUGUAUUUAUUUCAUACAUUGCAAAUUUACCUGAAAAUUUUCCAUUAUCCAACAGAUAGUAAACUGAUUUAUUUUUAUUCUUACAGAGAAAUGGCCAAAGAGAUUUUGUAAAACAGAAAAAAACAAGAACUGGGCAGUUUGUGUUUUUUUUCUUUUCUUUUUUUCUGCUUGUAUCUGUUUCAAUGUUUAGAAAAACUACAGAAUUACUUUAUCAUCAUAGAAAAUGUACAAAAAUAUUUUAAAACAUCAUGUUAA